GGUCGUAUGGUGUAGUUGGUUAUCACGUCAGUCUAACACACUGAAGGUCCUCAGAUCGAGCCUGAGUACGAUCA